GACGAACGCUGGCGGCGUGCUUAACACAUGCAAGUCGAACGGAAAGGCCCUGCUUUUGUGGGGUGCUCGAGUGGCGAACGGGUGAGUAACACGUGAGUAACCUGCCCUUGACUUUGGGAUAACUUCAGGAAACUGGGGCUAAUACCGGAUAGGAGCUCCUGCUGCAUGGUGGGGGUUGGAAAGUUUCGGCGGUUGGGGAUGGACUCGCGGCUUAUCAGCUUGUUGGUGGGGUAGUGGCUUACCAAGGCUUUGACGGGUAGCCGGCCUGAGAGGGUGACCGGCCACAAUGGGACUGAGAUACGGCCCAGACUCCUACGGGAGGCAGAAGUGGGGAAUAUUGCACAAUGGGCGGAAGCCUGAUGCAGCAACGCCGCGUGCGGGAUGACGGCCUUCGGGUUGUAAACCGCUUUCGCCUGUGACGAAGCGUGAGUGACGGUAAUGGGUAAAGAAGCACCGGCUAACUACGUG
rnacentral:rRNA from 1 species